rnacentral:rRNA from 1 species
UAGAGGAAGUAAAAGUCGUAACAAGGUCUCCGUUGGUGAACCAGCGGAGGGAUCAUUACUGAGUUUACGCUCUACAACCCUUUGUGAACAUACCUAUAACUGUUGCUUCGGCGGGUAGGAUCUCCGUGACCCUCCCGGCCUCCCGCCCCCGGGCGGGUCGGCGCCCGCCGGAGGAUAACCAAACUCUGAUUUAACGACGUUUCUUCUGAGUGGUACAAGCAAAUAAUCAAAACUUUUAACAACGGAUCUCUUGGUUCUGGCAUCGAUGAAGAACGCAGCGAAAUGCGAUAAGUAAUGUGAAUUGCAGAAUUCAGUGAAUCAUCGAAUCUUUGAACGCACAUUGCGCCCGCCAGCAUUCUGGCGGGCAUGCCUGUUCGAGCGUCAUUUCAACCCUCAAGCUCUGCUUGGUGUUGGGGCCCUACGGCUGACGUAGGCCCUCAAAGGUAGUGGCGGACCCUCCCGGAGCCUCCUUUGCGUAGUAACUUUACGUCUCGCACUGGGAUCCGGAGGGACUCUUGCCGUAAAACCCCCAAUUUUCCAAAGGUUGACCUCGGAUCAGGUAGGAAUACCCGCUGAACUUAAGCAUAUCAAUA